rnacentral:rRNA from 1 species
AUGCCGACCGAGCUGAAGCGCGCUGCGGAGGAUGGUGAUGAUUCCACUCCCACCCGUCUUCGCCGGAAAAUCGUAGUUCCAGAAAAGCCGGUCUAUCUGGUGGUGGAGCACAAGGCGGAGCCAGCGUACUCCAUCCUCAGUGUUGGCACAAUGGCGCCUAAGAUCCCGCUGCACCUCAGCCAACGCGGCAUGUCGUUCACUGCCAUGGAGUCGCCGCAGGGGUCCUGGAUCGUUGGCGUGGGCGGGGACAAGCAGAUUCACACCACCAUCUUCGAUGUCACCGCCUCCAAGGAGUGGCAGGGUCCGUGGCUCCAUACCAAUAAGAUGGAGCCCAUCCUGAUUCCACACCGCGGCCAGCUCUACGUGCUCUCCAGCCGCCCCUCCGUGAAGAGGGGGGCGAUGGGGCUCGACUACCUUCCCUGGUUCGAGCAGAUUAACUUCGAGGACGGCCGCCCUAACCAAGCCGAGGUUUGCCUAGAACUCGAGCCGCCGCCCAUCUUUCCGUGCCGCAUCACCCCGCCUGAGUACAGGAACCCGCCGGCUAUACGCGUUGCCUCUUACGCCAUGGUUGGCUCCCAUAUUUUGCUCUCCGUGCAACUGGACAAUGUGACCAGCCCCGACAAGGUUGCCAGGAAAUACAGGAAAUACAUGGGAACCUGCGGGUACGACGUGGAGAAGAAGGUGUGGGAGAUGGUGCAUGAGAUGAAUCUUCCUUUCCUUGGCCAGGCGGUGCCCCUCGGCGACCAACUCUUUCUUGCCCGCUCCAAAGAGAGGGACGGCGCUUAUGCAGUGUACUGCAUGCAUGUCGGUCAGUCAACAUCUGGGACCAGCGAGCUGUCCAUUAUUGAGGUUCCGCUGGUGGUGCCAAAGUCCCGACCUAUUCUGGGGGAACUUCUCUUCCCUUUGGGAAGGGGACGGUUCUCUUCUGUUCACUUUCGAUCUGUCGAUACUGAACCGGAGUCCAAGUUGGGCAAACCAAGUGUUGUACAUGGCACCUACUCUAUUGUGAAAGAAAAUUUCGAUGAUGCUAUAAUAAUGAAGCAGCAGCGGCAAGUUUACAAAGUAGCUGAUCGGUCGUGUCCAUUGGCUCAUCCUUUCCCUGUGGUUGCUGCUUUCACAAUGGGCGAUGCAUAG